CCCUCUUUGGGCAUGGGAUGAACUCGUUGGUGCUUUGCAUGUUCCUUUGUAAGCCAUCGGCUCAUCUCUUGGCCCAUGCUCGGUUACCUGACCCUCGGAUGCUGAAAAUUAAGUGGGCAAGGGGUUGAGAAACCCCUUUGAUAAGCCCGAGCCUAGCGCUCGUCGCUCGAACCGAAAGACGUUGUGGCUCGCCUUGGUGUUC
rnacentral:misc_RNA from 1 species